GGGGAUUUGUAGGCAUAAGGAGGAGGUGGGGAGUUCACUGGAGGCGGUGGAGACUUGUAAAUAUAGGGAGGAGGUGGGGAGUGGACUGGUGGUGGUGGAAACUUGUAAACAUAGGGAGGAGGUGGGGAGUGGACUGGAGGUGAUGGAGACUUGUAAACAUAGGGAGGAGGUGGAGAAUGGAUUGGAGGUGGUGGAGACUUGUAAACAUAGGGAGGAGGUGGGGAGUGAACCGGAGGUGGAGGAGACUUGUAGUUGUAAGGAGGAGGUGGAGAGUGGACUGGAGGUGGAGGAGACUUGUAAAUGUAGGGAGGAGGUGGUGAGUGGACUGGAGGUGGUGGAGACUUAUAAAUGUAGCGGGGAGGUGGAGAGUGGACUGGAGGUGGUGGAGACUUGUAGACAUAAGGAGGAGGUGGUGAAUGAACAGGUGGUGGUGGAAACUUGUAUACA